rnacentral:rRNA from 1 species
CGGCUAAAUUGUCGACAACAGAAGUUUGAUCCUGGCUCAGCCGAAUUCCUCGACAACAGAGUUUGAUCCUGGCUCAACCCAAUUCCUCCACAAAAAAAUUUGAUCCCGGGUCCACCCAAUUUCUCCAAAAAAAAAUUUGAUCCCGGGUCCACCCAAUUUCUUCAAAAAAAAAUUUGGACCCGGGUCCAACCAAUUUUUUCGAAUUUAAAUUUUCACCCGGCUUAUCCCAGAUUUUGGUCUGAAAGGAUGACCAGCGCACUGGGACUGAGACACGGCCCAAACUCCUACGGGAGGCAGCAGUGGGGAAUCUUGCGCAAUGGGCGAAAGCCUGACGCAGCCAUGCCUCGUGAAUGAUGAAGGUCUUAGGAUUGUAAAAUUCUUUCACCGGGGACGAUAAUGACGGUACCCGGAAAAUAAUCCCCGGCUAACUUCGUGCCAGCAGCCGCGGUAAUACUAAGGGGGCUAGCGUUGCUCGGAAUUACUGGGCGUAAAGGGCGCGUAGGCGGAUCGUUAAGUCAGAGGUGAAAUCCCAGGGCUCAACCCUGGAACUGCCUUUGAUACUGGCGAUCUUGAGUAUGAGAGAGGUAUGUGGAACUCCGAGUGUAGAGGUGAAAUUCGUAGAUAUUCGGAAGAACACCAGUGGCGAAGGCAACAUACUGGCUCAUUACUGACGUUGAGGCGCGAAAGCGUGGGGAGCAAACAGGAUUAGAUACCCUGGUAGUCCACGCCGUAAACGAUGAUUGCUAGUUGUCGGGCUGCAUGCAGUUCGGUGACGCAGCUAACGCAUUAAGCAAUCCGCCUGGGGAGUACGGUCGCAAGAUUAAAACUCAAAGGAAUUGACGGGGGCCCGCACAAGCGGUGGAGUCUGUGGUUUAAUUCGAAGCAACGCGCAGAACCUUACCACCUUUUGACAUGCCUGGACCGCCACGGAGACGUGGCUUUCCCUUCGGGGACUAGGACACAGGUGCUGCAUGGCUGUCGUCAGCUGGUGUCAAAAAGAUGUUGGGUUAAGUCCCGCAACGAGCGCAACCCUCACCAUUAGUUGCCAUCAUUUAGUUGGGAACUCUAAUGGGACUGCCGGUGCUAAGCCGGAGGAAGGUGGGGAGGACGUCAAGUCCUCAUGGCCCUUACAUGGUGGGUUACACACGUGCUUCAAUCGCAAUUUGCCUAGACUAACUUUGUCCCAAAUUUCAGUUAACCCACUCCUAAUCAAAUUGAUUUCAAAAAAAACCCAACCCUAGUCAAACUGAAUCUGCACCAAACCGAGACCAAGUUUAACCCAACUUAAUUGAUAACAAACUAAACCCAAACCUAACUCAACUUAAUUGGUACCAAACUUAGUCGAACCUCACUCGAAUUCGUUCGUCCCUGAAUUUGUUUUUCGGGGCUGGAUCUCGUCCGAAGCUGAUAAUGCCGA